rnacentral:lncRNA from 1 species
UUGCAUAAUGUAUGAAACAAAUAUAUAUAUUGACAAAUAUAUGAACAUAUGCAAUAUAUAUAUCGGAAGGUAAAUAUAAAUGUAGGGGGUUCAUCUAUCAUGGGGAAUGUUUUCAUGCUUCACGGUCGUUUCAAAUAUCUUACUUUAUUUUAAGCGUACAUGAUUGGCAAAAAACAAAUAAAAGCCUUUGAAUUUGUAGAAGAUCCAUCUCAGAAAGCCGGAAUUGCAUCUCCAAUGCGUUGUAUCACGUUCAAUAUAGAAAAAUUAAAUUGAAUCAAUAGCAUGUAGAUCAAUUCAAUAAAAUAAUUAAUUAAUCAUAAAAAGAAUGAUUAAAACGUAAUACUCCCCUGAUUGAAGAAUAAACUCUCUUGUUAGCGUAGCGUCAAAAGCGUGCUGAUAACGCGUUGUAGGCAUAAUUUAUUGAACAAUUAUGGAGGCCAGAGAGAGAGAGGGGUGCGGCAUAGAUAGAGAGAAAGAGUGACAUGUGUAAUUGUGGGUGUGUUAUAUUCCACCCCAUUAUGCCUUUAUUUAUAGUAGUAGGAAGGGUAAAACCUUUCCCUUUAGGAUUACAACAUUUAAUAGGUAAUCUACUCCUAAUAGGAAUAUGAGAUACAUUCCCAUAUCUAUUAGGAUUUACACAAUCAUAUUCCUAUUCUAAUAGGACUGCAACACUCCCCCUUGAGUGUGUAAAUACUUAAGUAAAUGGCGCAUCAGGUCUUCAGUGAUUAAGCAAGUAUAGUUGAUAAAGUCGUCGGCACAAUGAGCGAAUGCGAGUCUCAAAUCAACGGAAGAAUGCAUAAAAAGUAAAACUCACAAAACCUCGCUAUGGUAAAACCCAAGGUAAGGAAAAACCCAACAGCUUUCAGGUUUUUGAAAUUCGUAAUCAUACUCUAAACCCUAACCAUAUCUAUUUAGAGUAAGAUUGGGUAGAUUAAAUUUGUCGAUCAAAUUUAUAGACUAAAUGAUAUGUCAUCAAUAAAAAAUAAACACAAUAAUCAAUAUUUAAGUAAUAAUUUGAUCAUCAUCUUACAUAUCAUUUGGUUUAUAAAAUUUAAUCUACACAUUUAAUCUUCCUAACAAUAUUCACUUUUAUUUAUUGUCUUUAUUUUGCAACUGCAUUCAAUUGUCUCUCAUGCACGAUGCAUGCAAUCUUUUAUGCAUUCACAGUCUCAUAGAACAAGAAAGCUUAGCUGCCUAAAUUAAGGUCCCCCUCAAAAGAACAAUUUAAGAACAUCUUGGACUUUCGGCUGUUGGGUUAGUGUCAUGCUUUAUUUGACAUUUGACAUUUGAAUCAAAUAAAUUGGAUAAAAAAAAAUCAAAAAAAUAAAAAAUUGAAAACUGUUGUAGAUAUAAUUUACUGAAGAAUUAUGGAGGUCAGAGAGAGAGGGGUGCGACAUAGAUAGAGAGAAAAAGAGAGAUGUGUAAUUGUGGGUGUGUUCUAUUUCACCCCAUUAUGCCUUUAUUUAUAGUAGUAGGAAGGGUAAAACCUUUCCCUUUAGGAUUACAACAUUUAAUAGGUAAUCCACUCCUAAUAGGAAUAUAAGAUAGAUUCUCAUAUCUACUAGGAUUUACACAAUCACAUUCAUAUUCCAAUAGGACUGCAACAAAAACUUAUAAAUAAUAAAAAUGUGUAGAAAGAGAUAAAAAAAAGUGUACAGAAGUUAUGGUAAUGUUUUUAUAUUAAUAUUCUAUAGAAGAAUAAUUUUCUUAUAAUCAUAAAAAAUUUAUGUCACAAUGUGGCCUAACCAUUUAUAAGAAUAAACUUCACAUUGUAAUAAUUAACUUAUAAAUUAUUGGUCACGUAUUAAGGAAACUUGCAUCCAUAUAGUAAUAAUUGUCAAUAAGUACUAAAAUAUUCUCUAAAGUUGUUUGGGACAAUACUUUAUUUUUUACAGUUAAUACCACGUCUUUGAACUUGCAAAUACGUAAUACCUCGUUAACAUGGACAUCUUCACGAUGAAGUCAAAUAUUUCUAAUUUCUCAAACAUCUUUACAGCUUCUUGACUUGAAACUUUUGAUAUUUCAGUACUAUCAUCUUCAAAAUUAUCUCUUUCCUCUUCUUACCCAAAUGCAUCAAUGAUUUCUUCUUCAGUUAAAGCAUACACAACUUCUAACACAGCUUAACAUAAAUAUUUUCAUUUAGCUGACUUCACAUAUUGAUGGGUAGCAUGACUGAUUUGCUAAAGGAAGAAGAAAAAGUAUUCAUUUGAAUUGGUUGAAUAUUGCAUUUGGUGUUUUGUAUUAAAUAGAUCGCAUCAAAGAGAGCACUAUAUGUAUACAUGCAUCAGCUUUUAAAAAUUAGGUGUCACUUUUUUUCAAUGUUAGAUCUUGAAAAUUGGUAUGCUCCACUAUUAAUGUAAACUUUUAUAUCAAACGUAAAACUUUCAUUAAGGAUAACUAUGUCACCAAAUUAUAUUUUUAACUACACCUCUAUUAAUUAAUAUCUUUCUUAAAAUUAUAAAAUUAGUUUGGUCCCAACAUUCUACAAUAUAGAGGUUUUACUUUUUCCUAAUUAAUCUAGGGACAUUAUUUUGGCACUUCACGUUUAACUUCCCACACUAUUCUAUCAUCUUGCACCCGAGGAGUAAAUAACUAAUUUAUAGUAACUUCGGAGUGCCAAAAAUAUCACUUAAGGGAGUUGAUUUUUUGUACACCAUUUUUAGGCUCUUACAUUCUUUUCAUUUCUGGCUUUCGGAUUGAGUAAUUCAAUAAAAAAUAAUGAACAUGAUUAAACAAAGGUGUACUGUAUGAGAAAAAAAUAUGUGUUCAUUAGUUCCUAAUAAGAAAUGGGUCAUGUUAAGGUUAGUUGUGUAUGAUAUUUAUGAUCGUAAAUAAUGAUGAGGUUCAUAUCAAUGACAAAACUAAGUAGAGGUUGUACAUGCUCAACCCUAAUUUAGCCCAACCCUUCGGACCUUCGGUCUAAUGUAUGACCGACCCCCAACUCUCCAUUCGAUCGCACUUUCAC